CACUCCUGCGGGAGGCAGCAGUGAGGAAUAUUGGACAAUGGGUGGAAGCCUGAUCCAGCCAUCCCGCGUGCAGGAAGACGGCCCUAUGGGUUGUAAACUGCUUUUAUCUGGGGAUAAACCUACUUACGUGUAAGUAGCUGAAGGUACCAGAAGAAUAAGCACCGGCUAACUCCGUACCAGCAGCCGCGGUAAUACGGAGGGUGCAAGCGUUAUCCGGAUUUAUUGGGUUUAAAGGGUCCGUAGGCGGACUGAUAAGUCAGUGGUGAAAUCCGACAGCUUAACUGUCGAACUGCCAUUGAUACUGUUAGUCUUGAGUAAGGUUGAAGUGGCUGGAAUAAGUAGUGUAGCGGUGAAAUGCAUAGAUAUUACUUAGAACACCAAUUGCGAAGGCAGGUCACUAAGUCUUAACUGACGCUGAUGGACGAAAGCGUGGGGAGCGAACAGGAUUAGAAACCCCAGUAGUCCC
rnacentral:rRNA from 1 species